rnacentral:rRNA from 1 species
AAGGAAUAUUGCUCAAUGGGAGAAAUCCUGAAGCAGCAACGCCGCGUGGAGGAUGAAGGGUCUAUGACUUGUAAACUCCUGUAAAGAAGGAAAAAAUUCCCAUUAGAUGGGAGAUGAUGGUACUUCUGGAGUAAGCCCCGGCUAACUACGUGCCAGCAGCCGCGGUAAUACGUAGGGGGCAAGCGUUGUCCGGAUUUACUGGGUGUAAAGGGUGCUCAGGCGGAUUUGUAAGUCAGAGGUGAAAUCUUACAGCUUAACUGUGAAACUGUCUUUGAUACUGCAAGCCUAGAGUAUGGAAGAGAGUGAUGGAAUAUCUGGUGUAGCAGUGAAAUGCGUAGAUAUCAGAUAGAACACCAAUGGCGAAGGCAGUCACUUGGUCCAUUACUGACGCUAAAGCACGAAAGCGUGGGUAGCAAACA